rnacentral:rRNA from 1 species
AAACCAGCACCUCAAGUGGUCAGGAUGAUUAUUGGGCCUAAAGCAUCCGUAGCCUGCUCUGUAAGUUUUCGGUUAAAUCUGUACGCUCAACGUACAGGCUGUCGGGAAUACUGCAGAGCUAGGGAGUGGGAGAGGUAGACGGUACUCGGGAGGAAGUGGUAAAAUGCUUUGAUCUCUCGAUGACCACCUGUGGCGAAGGCGGUCUACCAGAACACGUCCGACGGUGAGGGAUGAAAGCUGGGGGAGCAAACCGGAUUAGAUACCCGGGUAGUCC